GCUUACGGCCAUACCACCCUGAACACGCCCGAUCUCGUCCAUCUCGGAAGCUAAGCAGGGUCGGGCCUGGUUAGUACUUGGAUGGGAGACCGCCUGGGAAUACCAGGUGCUGUAAGCU
rnacentral:rRNA from 1 species